AAGAGUUCCAGGGGAGAGCCGAGUUGAUCAAGCCUGGUGAAAAGUACACAUGGUCUGGGACUCUGUCUCUCACGAUGCGUGUCUAUGUUAUGAAUGAUAAGUUGCAGUGUGAUGACAGAGGAUGCUUUACUGGUCCCACUGCAGGCUCUGAGAAUGUCUACACAAUAUCAGAGUAUUUUAAAAAGUUGGACUACGUCUCUCCUGAUGCGCGUUUAUGUUAUGAAUGAUGCGGUGCAGUGUAGUGACAGAGGAUGCUUUACAGGUCCUACUGCAGGCUCUGAGAAUGUCUACACAAUAUCAAAGUAUUUUAAAAAGUUGGAC